AAUAGAUACUCAGGUAGUCCACGCCGUAAACGAUGAGUGCUAAGUAUUAGGGGGGUUUCCGCCCCUUAGUGCUGCAGCUAACGCAUUAAGCACUCCGCCUGGGGAGUACGGUCGCAAGACUGAAACUCAAAGGAAUUGACGGGGGGCCCGCACAAGCGGUGGAGCAUGUGGUUUAAUUCGAAGCAACGCGAAGAACCUUACCAGGUCUUGACAUCCCAUUGACCACUAUGGAGACAUAGUUUUUCCCUUCGGGGACAACGGUGACAGGUGGUGCAUGGUUGUCGUCAGCUCGUGUCGUGAGAUGUUGGGUUAAGUCCCGCAACGAGCGCAACCCUUGUUCUUAGUUGCCAUCAUUUUAGUUGGGCACUCUAAGGAGACUGCCGGUGACAAACCGGAGGAAGGUGGGGAUGACGUCAAAUCAUCAUGCCCCUUAUGACCUGGGCUACACACGUGCUACAAUGGACGGUACAACGGUUGCCAACCCGCGAGGGGGAGCUAAUCCGAUAAACCGUUCUCAGUUCGGAUUGUAGGCUGCAACUCGCCUAC
rnacentral:rRNA from 1 species